GAUGAACGCUGGCGGCGUGCCUAAUACAUGCAAGUCGAGCGAACAGAUGAGGAGCUUGCUCCUCUGACGUUAGCGGCGGACGGGUGAGUAACACGUGGAUAACCUACCUAUAAGACUGGGAUAACUUCGGGAAACCGGAGCUAAUACCGGAUAAUAUAUUGAACCGCAUGGUUCAAUAGUGAAAGACGGUUUUACUGUCACUUAUAGAUGGAUCCGCGCCGCAUUAGCUAGUUGGUAAGGUAACGGCUUACCAAGGCAACGAUGCGUAGCCGACCUGAGAGGGUGAUCGGCCACACUGGAACUGAGACACGGUCCAGACUCCUACGGGAGGCAGCAGUAGGGAAUCUUCCGCAAUGGGCGAAAGCCUGACGGAGCAACGCCGCGUGAGUGAUGAAGGUCUUCGGAUCGUAAAACUCUGUUAUUAGGGAAGAACAAAUGUGUAAGUAACUAUGCACGUCUUGACGGUACCUAAGCAGAAAGCCACGGCUAACUACGU
rnacentral:rRNA from 1 species